rnacentral:tRNA from 1 species
GCCCUCGUGGUGAAAUAGGUAAACACAACGGACUUAAAAUCCGUCGCCGAAUUAGGCUUGCCAGUUCGAUUCUGGCCGAGGGCACCA